AUACAGAGGUGGCAAGCGUUGUUCGGAAUUACUGGGCGUAAAGGGCGCGUAGGCGGCCCGUCAAGUCCCGUGUGAAAGCCCCCGGCUCAACCGGGGAACGGCGCGGGAAACUAGCAGGCUUGAGUUCGGGAGAGGGAAGCGGAAUUCCGGGUGUAGCGGUGAAAUGCGCAGAUAUCCGGAGGAACACCGGUGGCGAAGGCGGCUUCCUGGACCGACACUGACGCUGAGGCGCGAAAGCUAGGGGAGCAAACG
rnacentral:rRNA from 1 species